rnacentral:rRNA from 1 species
AAACUAAUUUAUUUUGGCGGCAUUCAAUCUUAUUAGAGGAACUUGUUUAAUAAUCGAUAAUCCACGUUAAUCUUCACUUUAAUCUAAAAUCUAUAUACCGCCAUCUUAAAAAUAAAUUUCAAAAUAUUUCUUUAAAAACAAAUAAAAUAUUAGGUCAAGGUGUAAUUUAUAUUAAAGAACAAAUGAGUUACAUUAAAUAAAAUUCAAAGAUUAUAUAUAUAUAUAUAUAUACAAAUAAGAAUUUAAAAGUAAUAUUAAAAUAAUAUUUAAAUAUGAUAUAAACAAUAAAUGUGCACACAUCGCCC